AGUACCUCCCUCAGCCCCUCGUCACCAUACGCGCGCAGGUGACAGGGGCGCAGAGUAGCAGUGACCUGUUCAAUUAGCCCCGCGGGGGGCAGACGGAACCCACCCCCCCCUCACCCGCUCCACAAGUUUGCCCUCGGUAACGAUAGGUACCCGCUGACUACGCUCCCUCCUAUCCCGCUAUUGCCCGAUGGGGGCCGAACUCUAUGGGUGGUUGGCGGAUCUGGCCGAAACCAGCGAUGCCUUACCACCCACAGUCCUUUAUUUGUAUGCGAGGGACGAGCGGCAUUAUGAUGCGCUAUGGCGCUCGGGUACAGUAAGACGCGCUUGUGUCUAAAUGAGGGUCUUUGAUGCCUUCUCUUCGAUUGCUGUUGCUAUGGAGCACUCCAAGUAUGUUACGGGGGGCGGCGUCUCUAUAUUAGUGACAGGUCAGCUCUCUGCCUCUCCACUCCAGCGCACUGGGCACAUUUGACUUUUCAGAUCGCUUCUUGGCUGCUGUUGGAAUCCUCACAUCCCGACUCCUUUUGUCUCUAUCGUUUGGUGCAUUUUCCUAUUGUUUUGCCAGGAAUGGAAGUGGUAGUCGUUAAAGAAAAGCUUCGGUUUUAUUUAUUGUGUCCUAGAUUUGUUGUCUGAUCCUGCUUCGUGUUUUCAUUUAUGUUUUAAUAAAAUUAUAAAUAAAAUUACUUUUUUGUUUUGAAGUACAUUUUUUUUUGUCUACUUUUUAGGAUUGAAUACAUAACUUUAUUUACUUGGCUAGAAAUAAACUAUGCACAUGUUUAUUUGAUUGUAUUGUAAGUCCUGGCUAAAGAGAGCUGUAGUUCUGUAAUAUGCGUGCAAUUCAUUUUGCACAAACAGAGAAAAAGUAUUUUCACCACACUUUUUUUAAUGUGUUAAAAUAAAGUAGAACUCUUGUUUAAGCUUUAGUUUGUGAGAACAUAAAUAAAUGUAUCAUUCAUGUAUCUAA